UACGUAGGGGGCAAGCGUUGUCCGGAUUUAUUGGGCGUAAAGAGCGUGUAGGCGGCCUGACAAGUCUGCUGUGAAAACUCGAGGCUCAACCUCGAGAUGUCGGCGGAAACUGUCUGGCUAGAGUCCGGAAGAGGUGAGUGGAAUUCCUGGUGUAGCGGUGAAAUGCGCAGAUAUCAGGAAGAACACCUAUGGCGAAGGCAGCUCUCUGGGACGGUACUGACGCUGAGACGCGAAAGCGUGGGGAGCGAACAGG
rnacentral:rRNA from 1 species